GGACAACCCACUGUGACAUGAGCUUUGUUUCAGAGGAGGGAGGUCCGUUUCUGCGCUGUGGUGAAACAUCCAAAACUUCAUCUGUCGCAAGUUCCAGUUUCCAUGCAGCUUUUGUAAGUUUCGCCACGUGGGAAACUAUGUGACCACCAUGUUUGGUUUAGACAGCGGGAUUCAUUUUAGUUUGAGAGGACACCGAGACUUUGUGGUGAAAUGGCAAACCAUGAGCGAAACAAGAAGAUGUUACUGGAACUGCUGAAGCUGCCGACCAACAGCCGGUGCGCGGACUGCGGAGCGGCCGCAUGGGAAUAGUUUAUGGGACAUGGGGGGCUCUUCUGCACACCUCAGAUCCAGAGUGGGCAUCCUACAAGCUGGGUGUGUUUGUGUGUCUGACCUGCUCCGGCAUCCAUCGCAGCCUGUCCAGCCGCGUCAAAUCCAUAAAGCUGGACUUCUGGGAGGAUGAGCUGGUGGAGUUCAUGAAAUCCAGUGGCAAUUCCAGCGCCCAAGAUCUGUAUGAGAAAGCUGUUCCACCGUUCUACUAUCGACCCCAGGAAAAUGACUGUAUGUAAGUAAAUUUCCAGGAUGAUGACAUCCUUCAGAUAACUGUGCCAACUGCUGACGGUGCAAUGCCACAAUAAAUAGAGAGAAGUGCAACUACUGACUACUGACUGACCUGGUAAAAAAAAAAAGGCAAUAAACAAUCGGGCUAGAAAUGUGCUAUAA